rnacentral:rRNA from 1 species
AGAGUUUGAUCCUGGCUCAGGACGAACGCUGGCGGCGUGCUUAACACAUGCAAGUCGAACGAGACGAUUUUAAGCUUGCUUAGAUGAGUCGAGUGGCAAACGGGUGAGUAACGCGUAGACAACCUGCCGCAAAGAUGGGGACAACAGUCCGAAAGGACUGCUAAUACCGAAUGUUGUCAAGUUUCCGCAUGGGAGCUUGAUUAAAGAUGGCCUCUACUUGUAAGCUAUCGCUUUGCGAUGGGUCUGCGUCUGAUUAGCUGGUUGGUGGGGUAACGGCCUACCAAGGCGACGAUCAGUAGCCGGUCUGAGAGGAUGAACGGCCACAUUGGAACUGAGACACGGUCCAGACUCCUACGGGAGGCAGCAGUGGGGAAUCUUCCGCAAUGGGCGAAAGCUGACGGAGCAACGCCGCGUGAGUGAAGAAGGGUUUCGGCUCGUAAAGCUCUGUUGACGGGGACGAAUGUGCGAGAUGCGAAUAGUUUCUUGCAAUGACGGUACCCGUCGAGGAAGCCACGGCUAACUACGUGCCAGCAGCCGCGGUAAUACGUAGGUGGCGAGCGGUUGUCCGGAAUUAUUGGGCGUAAAGGGAGCGCAGGCGCGAAGGCAAGUCAGUCUUAAAAGUGCGGGGCUCAACCCCGUGAUGGGAUUGAAACUGUCUUUCUUGAGUGCAGGAGAGGAAAGCGGAAUUCCUAGUGUAGCGGUGAAAUGCGUAGAUAUUAGGAGGAACACCAGUGGCGAAGGCGGCUUUCUGGACUGUAACUGACGCUGAGGCUCGAAAGCGUGGGGAGCGAACAGGAUUAGAUACCCUGGUAGUCCACGCCGUAAACGAUGAGUGCUAGGUGUAGGAGGUAUCGACCCCUUCUGUGCCGGAGUUAACGCAAUAAGCACUCCGCCUGGGGAGUACGGUCGCAAGACUGAAACUCAAAGGAAUUGACGGGGGCCCGCACAAGCGGUGGAGUAUGUGGUUUAAUUCGACGCAACGCGAAGAACCUUACCAGGGCUUGACAUUGAGUGAAAAUACCUAGAGAAUAGGUACCUCCCUUCGGGGACACGAAAACAGGUGGUGCAUGGCUGUCGUCAGCUCGUGUCGUGAGAUGUUGGGUUAAGUCCCGCAACGAGCGCAACCCCUAUCAUUUGUUGCCAGCACGUAAAGGUGGGAACUCAAAUGAGACUGCCGCGGACAACGCGGAGGAAGGCGGGGAUGACGUCAAGUCAUCAUGCCCCUUAUGUCCUGGGCUACACACGUACUACAAUGGGACGGACAGAGAGCAGCGAACCCGCGAGGGCAAGCGAACCCCAUAAACCAUCUCCCAGUUCGGAUUGCAGGCUGCAACCCGCCUGCAUGAAGUCGGAAUCGCUAGUAACCGCUGGUCAGCAUACAGCGGUGAAUACGUUCCCGGGCCUUGUACACACCGCCCGU